CUUUUCUUUCUUCUAUUUUAAUCCUUCUUUGCAGCACCUCUUUUCCUUUAUUCCCUCUUUCAUAUUUCUUUCUCUCUUUUCCUUCUUUCUUUAUUCUUCUUUCUGUCUUCUUCUUUUUAUGACCGGCAGAGAGAGUGAGUAGGGAGAGUAAGACUAAGAGAGGGAGAGAUGUGAGACAGCAAGAGAUUGAGAGAAAGGUGAGAUGCUGAGAGACAGAGAAAGGGAGAGACCCGAGAGACCCAUAGCCAAGAAACCAUCCAGUCCAGUGGCAGAUCCGUGACCAACGAACCCGUAGCCAUGCAGUCUCGAUCCAUUGUGGCUCAAUCGGAACCCGCCGACCCCACACGACCGGUUGUGCAACCAGAAUCCGGCGACCCAACCCAGCCAAACGGUGCGUGUGAUUGUGACCCAGCUGCCCAACAUGAAGCCGAACCCAUAUCAGACCCCGUGGCAGACCCAAGCCCCGAUCAAACCCGAGAGAAGUCCAGCUCGUAUGAACCCAGAAACUGUCCUACCCAGUUCCGAUCAAAGCUGACUCAUCAAUGCAAGCCAACCCAGAAAUUCCAGCAACCACGUGCACUAUUCAGCAAACCCGCAGCAACCGGCCAUGAAGGAUCCAAGAGAAACCCAGUUUCCACCGGUGCCGUGAAGCUCAUAACUCCGAAACCCCAGCCGAUUGUAGCAAAUCAGGAGAUCGAGAGGAGGAGGCUUCGGCAGAACCUAGGACCUUGACCCGCAACCAACAUACAUGAAACCCAGCAACCAACCGAACCAUCCAGCAUGGGGGAGGGGACCUGAAGACCGGCAAUCCAGCAGCAGUGACCACGGUGAAGCCGACCCAGACCACCCAGCCGUAACCCACAGAUCCUAACCCCAGCUACUCCGGUGACCCCGACAGGUGACCAAGCCAUAUGUGUAUGAGCCCGUGCGACCAAGACCCCAGCAACCCAUAACCCGAAUUCUCUGCCAAGCCCAACCCGGUUUAGAUCCAGUCCAUGUUGAUGGCCCAACAGCAGCAGAAAACCAGCCCAUAGUAAACCCAGUCAACCCGUAACCCAAAAGCAGUGAGAGGGAGAUUGAUGUUGGAGAUGAUGAAUUGAGACAGCACAAAAGGGCUGUAAGUAUUUUUAUACUUACUGAGGGUAGCACUGGAUUUCAAUAAUGUUGUGUUUAUGUUUUAUUUUAAUUGGAUGCGUGUGACUGAUUAUUGCAUACUGUUAAUAAUCAACCUAUUAAUAUUGGGCGCGACGUCUCCCAAAGGUUCAUGAUAGAGUUGAACCGGAAACAAUAAUAAUCAUAUUGAUUGGAACGGCUUUCAAAGUACUAGAGGAGGGAGGUCUCCGAUAGUGCGAAAACAAGUUAAUUAAAAUGUAAUGUAGAGGGGACGGCCUCGAGAAACACGAUUAAACGGGGGGACGUGCCCUUACAAGAGAGGAGUGUAAUCACUAUAUAAACUGUUAAACUUUGCAUGAAAAACUAUCACCUCAUCAUUAUGUCAUAUCUGUACCUUAAAAUAACGCAUAAAUCAUGAUGUUGUUGAAUGACAGUUAGCUCACUUAUGAAACUAUGGGAUUGUGGCGGUAACCACCUUCUCAUAGAUGUUUGCGCAGGUACUGAAGAUUAUGGAAUGGAUUAACUGCUAGCUUAAGAGAUUUAUAGCUGUGUAGUUAGGAUUUUAGUACUUUGUACUCAUAGAUGUUUGUACUAUUUGCUUGUAAUAUGUCUAGACAUUUACUUGUAAUUAAUAAGUUCCAUGCAGGCUUUAGUGUCAUAUGUGACACAUGUUUCUUUGUAAAUAGUGUAAAGAUUUUUAAUGUAUUUUCUAGAAGAUGUCAGUUAAAGCUCUGAAUAUAUCGUAA